UUUGUAUUUUCCUUCCCAUCCGUGCUGCUUCCUUAGGACUUUUAUGUUUCAACUCGACUGGAACUAUGUUGAUCGCACACCACUAAUCUUGGGACAGGAAACGUUCACGUAUUAUCAGUUCAGCAUCAUCAUGUGGAGCUUGCAAUAACUGUGCAAAUAUUGAGAGAAUAAACGGUCAACACAUUAAGGGGUUACAAUGAGCAUAGAAAUAUUGCACACACCUCUUAUGAACGCGUAAAGAAAGGCAUAUAAGCAUUAUUUAUCUCAGGCCUAGUAUAAUUUGGGAUGUAGAGAGUGAUUAAUUAAAUCAUUAAAACUGGUGAUUGGCAGUUAUUUUACAUUUUUUCCAUUUCAGUUUUAUUAAAACUUGUUACAUGCUUCACAAAGGUUGUGUGCAAUACAAAACCAUUAUUAAGUAGAGAAAUGCGAGAAUCGCAUAAGCACUUGUACGUAAUGCAUGGGAGAUAAACACAUGUGAUGAUAAAGAGAAAGCAAGGCGUAUAAAAAAACAACUAAUGUAUCACGUUUAAAGUAAUUAAUAUAAGUACCUAUGCGGUUCUCGCAAUUCAUUACAAAAAAAUAGGUUACGUAUUGAACAUCCCUCUAUUUCUCAA
rnacentral:lncRNA from 1 species